CUUUCUGUGCAGGUUGGGAGAGGUGGCAAUGCUCUGUGCUUGGGGUGGUAUUGCACUUGUCCCGGCCUGUUGAGGACAU
rnacentral:pre_miRNA from 1 species